ensembl:lncRNA
GAUUACUCCCUUUGGAGUUUUUUCUGUGAGCCUAGGACACGGGCAGGACUGGGACAUAUCUCAUGUUCAGUAUCAGUGUCCUGUGUCCCUAUGUCCAAGCUGCUAGUUUAAGCUAAACCAGAGGAGCAAGAAAUGUGGCUGAUGAACCCCUGUGAUCAAAAUGAGAAGUUUGAUGGGAGUCUGAACAUCAGUACUGCUGUACAGAAGACAGACGUGCCCUGUAACAGGACCUUGGGCAUCUUAUUAUCUGCCUGAGCAAAGCCUUAGAUACAACAGCCAGGAGGAAGGUGGAGGUUGGAGGAGAUCGCAACAUUACUCAGAGCAUAUUUCCAGCCUUUUAUCUGCUGAGCCAGAGGGACACAGAUGUGGUCGAUACUUGCAUCAGAGACAUUGUAGCAUCCAUUGAUACUGACUGAGAUUGAUGGAGACAAGAUUCAUCAUAAACAGAAGCAGAAUAAAAUAUUUCUUCUUAAUUCAGUGUUGGAUCUCUCAUGGUAAAAAAAAAUGAUUUUGAAAAUACCUGUUUGAAGAUCUCUGCCACUGUAUCACUGAAGACUUCAUUUUAUAUUUCUAAUUAAAGAUCAAACCAUGAAAUAAUCCAAUUUUGCAAAGAUUUCAAGUAUCAGAAACUUGGAGAGCAAAUGCUUGGGGAAAAGUUUUAUUCAUCAGACUAAAAAACACCUGUAGGAUGAAUAGUCUUUAUGGAAUGUUUGUAUUUCCAUCCUACAUGAAAGAAUUUCCUAACAGAAUAAAAUGUUAAUUUACAACAGAAGAUCUGAUUUACAGAGUCUACAUAUUUCAAACUAAUGUCUCAGGCCAUUUCCCCAUCCCUUUCUGCAAACAGUUCCACUUCGUCAGUUGUUUAUUCUGAAUAUUCAAAUUAAUCAUUAACUGUUAUCUAAAAAAUAAAUAAAACAACAUAUACUAUGCUCAUGCACUCUCAGCAGAGUAAGCUAAAAGUGGAAUAUUGUCAUUUCCCAAUGAUUCUAUCUUCUAAUAAUAUUGGAUUAAAAACAAACAAACAAUACUUUGAUUUCUUUCAUGUAGUUUUCCACAGAAAUGAUUCUUCUGUCAGUGCCACUAGGCUCUCCUCCAUGCACUUGGAAGGCAUCCAGCAAAAAGCCUCAGAGUUUACUUAUGCCCUACCAGGGGGGAUCAAGAUAUGGUGCAUAUGCAAUGUGUCAUCCAGUGUUUUUAGAACAUGUAAAAGAUCCAGCUGUGCUGUUAAUUUAGUCCAGCCUCGGGGCUUCCACAGCAUAUCAGUGUUACAUGAUCUACAUUCUGGAGCCUACAUUCUAUUCUAAAGUCAGGAAAUUGUGAGGAAUAGAUCCUUAUUGAUCUCCUCACUUCACUAGAAAAGAGCAAGUGUUCAAAAUAAUAAUUAUUAUUCUAUAUAAAGAUAUAGUAGAUAAAAUGUGAUAGAAUAUAGAACUUUCCUGGCAAUAUCUGUAGGCAAGAUUAAAGAUCAGAAAAAAAUGUUGUAUUUUAAAAUUUCUUCAGUUUAUAUUUGUUUCCUAAUAAUUAAAAUAAACAUAAGAGUAAACAAAAAGUACCCAUUUGGCCACUUGGAAAGCAUUCUCUUAGCAAUGCUAAAUUAUUAGUUCAUAUAAUCCUGCUGUUUUAAGUUCCAAACUAAGACAAUAAAUAUUUUCAAAUAUUGUCACUGGCUUUUUGUAUUUGAUUUGAUCUUUUUCUUGUUUGUUUUUUAUAUCCAAAUUUCAUUUAUUUAAGGAAUCUUAAUUUAUAAACUGUUG